rnacentral:rRNA from 1 species
UACAGAGGGUGCAAGCGUUAAUCGGAAUUACUGGGCGUAAAGCGUGCGUAGACGGUUAUUUAAGUCAGGUGUGAAAGCCCCGGGCUCAACCUGGGAAUUGCAUUUGAGACUGAAUAGCUAGGGUGCGGAAGAGGGAAGCGGAAUUUCCGGUGUAGCGGUGAAAUGCGUAGAUAUCGGAAGGAACACCAGUGGCGAAGGCGGGUCUCUGGACAGUUCCUGACGCUGAGGCACGAAGGUCAGGGGAGCAAACGGGG